GACGAACGCUGGCGGCGUGCCUAAUACAUGCAAGUAGAACGCUGAAGGAGGAGCUUGCUUCUCUGGAUGAGUUGCGAACGGGUGAGUAACGCGUAGGUAACCUGCCUGGUAGCGGGGGAUAACUAUUGGAAACGAUAGCUAAUACCGCAUAAGAGUAGAUGUUGCAUGACAUUUGCUUAAAAGGUGCAAUUGCAUCACUACCAGAUGGACCUGCGUUGUAUUAGCUAGUUGGUGGGGUAACGGCUUACCAAGGCGACGAUACAUAGCCGACCUGAGAGGGUGAUCGGCCACACUGGGACUGAGACACGGCCCAGACUCCUACGGGAGGCAGCAGUAGGGAAUCUUCGGCAAUGGACGGAAGUCUGACCGAGCAACGCCGCGUGAGUGAAGAAGGUUGUCGGAUCGUAAAGCUCGGUUGUAAGAGAAGAACGAGUGUGAGAGUGGAAAGUUCACACUGUGACGGUAUCUUACCAGAAAGGGACGGCUAACUACGUG
rnacentral:rRNA from 1 species